AUACGGUUUAUUUUUUUUUGUCCCGUUAGAUAUAAGUGAACGGUGACAGAGUAGUGAGUGUGAAGUGUUCAAGAGUUGUAGGGAUACUCGGGAGAGCCGUAAACCGGGGUGUCGUACAUCUAUCAUUUCCCGUGAUAAUAUCAUCUCCUGCAGUGUGCAAGAAGGCAGGUGUCUCUAUCUUUAUUAGAGACUCACUGGCAAUAACCAUCCAUCAACAGAUUACUGACGUAAAUGGUUGUUAUGUGAUUUUGGUGGAACAAAACUAGUUGUUGGGGCUACCGACGCAUCUAGUGGUUGGCCGCUCGCCUCAAAGCACUAGGACAUGCGCUUAUCACCCUAAUAUUCUAGGGUACCACAAAGUCACACCGCUGCUGAAGCCGGGAGGCCGCAGGAAGCAGGGGAGAACCCAAUCCUAGAAUAGUUGCAGAAGGAGACGAAGGAAGAAGACCAGGCGCUGCUGAUACUUGACCCAAGAAUGUGGACGGAGGCAGAAUUGGAUAUAAAAGAUCCCUCGGCAGGUUUAAGCGUUUCAAGUGAAACACCCUCUUCCUCAGGUCUAGUUACAAUAGGCACAGUAGGGUAUAAAUAGUGUGAAGAGUGGGAAAAUUGGCGCCAAAGAACAAGUGGGCGAAGCUACAGGUGAAUCCAAAAGAGGAAGUGUCAGUAAGUUACAUAAAUAUUCAGCAAAAUAGUUGUAAACAUACAUGCACGCAUUACUAAAGGCAUACCGCGUGGUACAUAUGACUGCUUCAGCUGCCGCUGGAUAGCCGUUUAAUGUUCCUCGUGUGCUCCGGUGAGUGUCACUCACUUGUCCCCGACAUUCCGGACCGUCCUCUUCAUGCUCCGCUGCAUGGCCGUCGCUCUCCUUCGUCGUCAUCAUGUCACCGCGCACGCUAUCCCAUCAUCCUGUGGCGUGCGCAGCGACAUUAUGAUGUUGAUGGAGAGCGACGAUCCAGGGCGGUGGUGACGGGCCAGAGCGGCGGGGACAUGAUGAUGGCGAUGGAGAUGGACGACCCAGGGCAGCGGUGACGGUCCGUAGCAGCAGGGACACCCCGGGGACGUGAUGACGGCAAUGGAGCGAGACGAUCCAGGGCAGCAGUGACGGUCCAGAGCGGUGGGGACACAUGAGUAUAACUUUGUAUAUUAUUAUUGCACGGAUCCUUCAACAAACAACAAAUUCAAGUAACGAUGGUGCAUUUGGAACAAAUUACCAUCGUAUGUUGAGGGAUCACUUUAUUUGUUUGUUAUGUUAUUCAAUAAAGUGGUCCCUGCCUCCGUCCACAUUUUUGGGUCAUGUAUCCGCAGCACCUGGGCUUAUAGGUCUUCUUCCUUUGUCUCCUUCUGCAAGUAACAAGAUGGGACAGGAGGGAUUCCAGUAUUUCAUAAAAACUGAUAUGGGGCUGGAGAAAAAUAGAAAACAUUCUUACCAAGCCCUAGUCCCCUGCAGCUCCCAUUUGCCCAGUCUUUUCUUGUGUGUCUGCUUCUGAGACAAGCGGUCAGAGCAGGUCCUGCCAGCUCAGCUAAUGACUUGCUCAGCACCAUAUUACUU